AAUCAACGCUGGCGGCGUGCCUCAGACAUGCAAGUCGAACGAUUAAAGCUCUCUUCGGAGAGUGCAUAGAGUGGCGCACGGGUGAGUAACACGUAAGUAAUCUACCUUCGAGUGGGAGUAACGUCGGGAACCGACGCUAAUACCGCAUAAUGCAGCGGCAUCGCAAGAUGACAGUUGUUAAAGGAGCAAUUCGCUUGAAGAGGAGCUUGCGGCAGAUUAG
rnacentral:rRNA from 1 species